rnacentral:rRNA from 1 species
UCAAGUGUCUUAAGGGCAUUUGGUGGAUGCCUUGGCGACUAGAGGCGAUGAAAGACGUGAUACGCUGCGAUAAGCGUCGGGGAGCUGCGAAUAAGCUUUGAUCCGGCGAUUUCUGAAUGGGGCAACCCACACCUUUAUGGUGUACCCGCAAGGGGGCAAACCCGGGGAACUGAAACAUCUAAGUACCCGGAGGAAAGGACAUCAACCGAGACUCCGCUAGUAGUGGCGAGCGAACGCGGACCAGGCCAGUGGUCAUAUUUUAAGAACCGGAACAAGUUGGGAAACUUGGCCUUAGUGGGUGAUAGCCCCGUACGGGUAGAAAGAGAUAUGAUCCUUGAGUAGGGCGGGACACGUGAAAUCCUGUCUGAACAUGGGGGGACCACCCUCCAAGCCUAAGUACUCCUAGUCGACCGAUAGCGCACCAGUACCGUGAGGGAAAGGUGAAAAGUACCCCGACGAGGGGAGUGAAAUAGUACCUGAAACCGAAUGCUUACAAACAGUUGGAGCCCGUAAGGGUGACAGCGUACCUUUUGUAUAAUGGGUCAGCGACUUAAUUUAACGAGCAAGCUUAAGCCGAUAGGUGUAGGCGUAGCGAAAGCGAGUCUUAAUAGGGCGUUUUAGUUCGUUGGAUUAGACCCGAAACCGAGUGAUCUAGCCAUGAGCAGGUUGAAGGUGCGGUAACACGCACUGGAGGACCGAACCCACGAAUGUUGAAAAAUUCGGGGAUGACUUGUGGCUAGGGGUGAAAGGCCAAUCAAACUCGGAAAUAGCUGGUUCUCCGCGAAAUCUAUUUAGGUAGAGCGUCCUGUGAAUACUCCUGGGGGUAGAGCACUGGAUGGGCUAUGGGGGCUCACCGCCUUACUGAUCCUAACCAAACUCCGAAUACCAGGAAGUACUGCAGGGCAGACACACAGUGGGUGCUAACGUCCAUUGUGGAGAGGGAAACAACCCUGACCGCCAGUUAAGGUCCCUAAGUUAUGGCUAAGUGGGAAAGGAUGUAGAGAUCCCAAAACAACCAGGAUGUUGGCUUAGAAGCAGCCAUCAUUUAAAGAAAGCGUAACAGCUCACUGGUCUAAAUAAGGGUCUCCGCGCCGAAAAUGUACCGGGGCUAAAGCCAUACACCGAAACUGCGGGUGCGUCUUAUGACGCGCGGUAGCGGAGCGUUCUGUAAGCUGAUGAAGGUGGACCCGUGAGGGCUGCUGGAGGUAUCAGAAGUGCGAAUGCUGACAUGAGUAACGAUAAAGAGGGUGAGAGACCCUCUCGCCGAAAGUCCAAGGGUUCCUGCGCAACGCUAAUCGGCGCAGGGUUAGCCGGCCCCUAAGGCGAGGCCGAAAGGCGUAGUCGAUGGGAACGGGGUUAAUAUUCCCCGGCCAGUGGGUAGUGACGGAUGCCGUGUAUCGUAUCUCCUUAUUGGAUUGGAGAUGCGGUGAAGGUGUUCCUGGAAAUAGCUCCCACGCUAAGACCGUACCCGAAACCGACACAGGUGGACAGGUAGAGUAUACCAAGGCGCUUGAGAGAACUGUGCUGAAGGAACUCGGCAAAUUGCUCCCGUAAGUUCGCGAGAAGGGAGCCCGGUACGAAGGCAACUUUGUAUCGGGGGCACAGAAUAGGGGGUUGCGACUGUUUAUCAAAAACACAGGGCUCUGCGAAGCCGCAAGGCGACGUAUAGGGUCUGACGCCUGCCCGGUGCUGGAAGGUUAAGAGGAGGUGUGCAAGCACCGAAUUGAAGCCCCAGUAAACGGCGGCCGUAACUAUAACGGUCCUAAGGUAGCGAAAUUCCUUGUCGGGUAAGUUCCGACCUGCACGAAUGGCGUAACGACUUCCCCGCUGUCUCCAGCACAGACUCAGUGAAAUUGAAUUCCCCGUGAAGAUGCGGG